UCCCUUGUAGCUCAGUCGGGAGAGCGGGUGGCUGUUAACCACUAAGUCGGCGGUUCGAGUCCGUCCGGGGGAG
rnacentral:tRNA from 1 species